AUUCAGCUGAUGAGUUCAAAAUAGGACGAAAAAGGCUUCCUAGAU
rnacentral:hammerhead_ribozyme from 1 species